UCCUUUUCAGAAACACAUGAAGAAGCACACUCGGUCUAGGUUAAUUACGAGGGUACUCUCCUAGAACGUACUCUCAGAACCCACCAGGCCAGGCCAGUAUAGUUAUUAUUUUCUGUAUAAUAUUUGUGUAAAGCAAACAGUUAGGAGUCACAUGCCGAUUAUCCUACACAAUUCUCUAUCUAGCAGGCAACAGGAAAAACCAACAAGAACAACCAGAAACAACCUUUGCCAACAGAAAGUGGGCAAAAUAAGGUAAUCAGUGGGCACAGCUUAAACCAGCCAAGUCCAAACACACUCAAGGAGAGAUCUCCUGCACGGCAGUGGAGCUGCCUUGUCAUGUUCAUUGACGGCAACUUCAGCAAUAAACUGGAUUUCCACCAGCCUGCGUCCCGGGUUUGAGGGGUCCAGAAAAGUUGCAGAAUCGCAUUGUUCUUAUACCGUCUCAGCUGGAAGUCAUGGAGUGGUCCUUCGUGAAGUUGUAUCUCAUCGGAUCGGCGUUGAGCGCCUUCACGGUCUUCUUCUCCUUGAUGGACUCCUUCGGUGGACUCAUGUACGGCCAGGAUGACCUUAGGGUGUGGGCCCAGGACCACCAGAGACCACUCACCGCCCCCAGCAGUAGGACAGGACCGACAGGAGCGAAAGACGAGGACUCGUCGUAAAUGGGGGACCUACACAUGGAGGGAAUUGUAUAGCCGAUGAAGAGCAGGUGUCAGAUGGCGCAUUUGUGUCACACACUAACCCACUGUCCUUAUUCUUUAAAGAAACACAUUGUUUCUUGCACUAAGUCUGUUACUUGUAUAUAUGUAUUACCUUAAUGUAUGGAUCAGAAUGACCAAGUCCAAGGCUUAGGUGCUGUAAAUGUAAAAAUGCUGUGUGUGUUAAGUCGUAUUAUUUAAAUAUUUAUUAUAUUCUGAUAAAUGUGUGAAACACUGUAAUGGGUCUAAGUAAUGGGUCACUGUAAUGGGUUAAAGUCAAACACUGUUUGACUUUAAAGACGUUUCUUGCUGCAACCCUAUCCAAGAAUCAGUUUUCUAUACCCAACAAAGGUUGUCAAAGUCUAAUAAGACUAUAAGGCAAAUGUGGCUCACUUUCCUUAUUGUUGAUAUUUUACAUAUUAAAGUUGUAUAACAACCUA